GCCUCNANGCAGUCAUUGGGUUAGAUCUGCUCUCUUUGCAAGAAGAGGGUUUCCAUACACACCGUGAACUGUUGGCUUCGGCCAUCACAAACUGUUAGUAAUGAAUGUAAUAUCAUAACAAAAACAAAACUUUUAACAACGGAUCUCUUGGCUCUCGCAUCGAUGAAGAACGCAGCGAAAUGCGAUAAGUAAUGUGAAUUGCAGAAUUCAGUGAAUCAUCGAAUCUUUGAACGCACCUUGCGCCCUUUGGUAUUCCGAAGGGCAUGCCUGUUUGAGUGUCAUGAAACCUCACCCCACUUGGGUUUUUGCCUGAGCGGUGGUGUAUUGGGUGUUGCCUUGCUAAAGGCUCGCCUUAAAGACAUAAGCACCUUGGAUGUAAUACGUUUCAUCCUUCUGGGUGGCUGAUAACCCCACAUAUUCAUGAUCUGGCCUCAAAUCAGGUAGGGCUACCCGCUGAACUUAAGCAUAUCAAUAGGCCGGGAGGAAGAC
rnacentral:rRNA from 1 species